GCUAUGUGCUGACACACUCCCUGUUGUGUCCGGGCCACUGAGCCACCGUGAUGAAGCUGAGGGCCUGCAGC
ensembl:snoRNA